UUUCACACUUGGCUUCCUCCACAGGAGCCGUUUAUAAACAUCCUUCAUCAGUAGGAUGAAAUUAAGCCUGCAUUGACAAAGGUGUCUGGAACUCGAUAUUUAAAAGCAAUAGAUCCGAAUUAGCAAAUUACUACUUUAAGUAGGGGAAGUCCCCACCAACUUGACUAUUGAACCCUUUGCCUCUGAGCUCCUCGCCGUGAGUAACCACACGUUUGAGGGAACUUAACCUGGAGUUUCCGCGUUACUCAAGCAACCUCCGGAAUCUCGCUUCCCGAAUCCGCGCGCGCCCUGGCUCCCAGCCCUUCCCCCAGCCUUCGAGGACCCACUCGGGUCAGAGCUGUGGAGACCUGGGCGAGGACUGCUGGGGGCCUGGUCGGAAACGCGGUUACUACACCAGACGCUCCUAGGACUCCCGGGCCUCAGGCGCAGGGCCAGCGCCAGCCAUGGCACCUCUACGCUUUCCCCCCUGCGCCGGGGGCCAGCCCGGAGUCCUGUGGGAGGUUGAGGCAGGGGAGACCUCCGCACGGAUAAGAAAGCGCAGCUUCUCGCUGAUUCUUGUGACGACCUCUUCACCCAUGAAGAAUCCAAUGACUAAUCAUCAGCAAGUGGAUCAAAGCCUGGAUUAAACAACAUCGCUCUCUGUAUCUCCUGUGUUACAAAGGCCUGCGCUCAGUUCUGGAACUUUUCUUUGGCUUGGACCAAAGUUCGGGUCACUGCGUGGAGUCCAGCAGAGGCCGCGGUGCCCGACUCUGUCUGGGCACAGGUCAUCUCGCGGCACCCUCUGGCACCCUCUUUCAUCUCUUCAGAGAAGUCUUCGGAAAUAGUUUUCCCAGACACAAACGGGUGAAUAAAUCUGACCUCACCAGACUUUCCUGCAGGCUGCGAGCACCCUAGAGGCAGGAAACUUGCACUGUUCCUGACUCUGGAACCCAGUUCAGUGCCUGGCACUGGGCAAUAAAGGAUGGCUUUUUGAAUGAAACAAAGUAUG
rnacentral:lncRNA from 1 species